GACCUGGAGGUGGAGUGGUCCACAUCCGCGCUUGAUGCUAAAUGAUGAGUCAGUGUCUCUAUGCGGAACAUGCCCCGUUCGAUUCGGGGCCAGGUCG